CGGCUGUGACUACCCGUACGAGGAGAACGAAGUCUGCACCUACAGCUGCAACAGCGGGUACUACUGGGACGGUGGGAACCCGAGCCGUGCAUGCAGGGGCGGCAGCUGGGCAGGCGAGGAUAUCGUCUGUCGCGAGCAAUAUUGCUACUGGGAAGGCACAGCCACCUUCUGUGACCCGGGUGGCUGCGACGUUGGCAGGUAUGUGCGGAGUGACAGAUGUGGAGACGGCGGCUGUUGCUGGACGGGACACAAGAUAUACUGCUGUACUGGCGGUGGGUAGAGCAGAUCUACCUCUUCGAACGGCUGCAAGGAGGUGACAACAAGUCAGAUUUCAUCUCUGCCCGACACCAUGUCUAUUUUCUUGACCAAGUCACUGACUAGAUAAAUAUGUAUACUAAAAUCAUGUAUUACCCAGUUAUGCAUUUGAGGUGUUGUAUUGUGUUUGGAUUCUUGAAUAUUUUUUUUGAAGUAAAGGAAAAUAUUUAACCGCCUAAUAGACCAAUCCUGACAGUGUAUCGGAAUCAACCGAUCAAUUAAUGGUAGAAAGACAAUUACUGGUGGGACGAAUGGCAGUGAGGCUGCAUAUAGGUUAGAUGUUUUCUAUUUCUAUGG